rnacentral:rRNA from 1 species
GAUGAACGCUAGCUACAGGCUUAACACAUGCAAGUCGAGGGGUAACAAGAGGUAAGCUUGCUUUUCUUGUUGACGACCGGCGCACGGGUGAGUAACGCGUAUCCAACCUGCCUAUAACUAGGGAAUAACCUUGCGAAAGUAAGACUAAUACCCUAUGAUUUCCUUUGAUGACAUCAGAUUAGGAAUAAAGAUUUAUCGGUUAUAGAUGGGGAUGCGUCUGAUUAGCUUGUUGGCGGGGUAACGGCCCACCAAGGCAACGAUCAGUAGGGGUUCUGAGAGGAAGGUCCCCCACAUUGGAACUGAGACACGGUCCAAACUCCUACGGGAGGCAGCAGUGAGGAAUAUUGGUCAAUGGGCGGAAGCCUGAACCAGCCAAGUAGCGUGCAGGAUGACGGCCCUAUGGGUUGUAAACUGCUUUUAUACAGGAAUAAAGUUGGCCACGUGUGGUUAUUUGUAGGUACUGUAUGAAUAAGGACCGGCUAAUUCCGUGCCAGCCGCCGCCGUAA